rnacentral:rRNA from 1 species
GAUGAACGCUGGCGGCGUGCCUAAUACAUGCAAGUCGAGCGAACAGACGAGGAGCUUGCUCCUCUGACGUUAGCGGCGGACGGGUGAGUAACACGUGGAUAACCUACCUAUAAGACUGGGAUAACUUCGGGAAACCGGAGCUAAUACCGGAUAAUAUAUUGAACCGCAUGGUUCAAUAGUGAAAGACGGUUUUGCUGUCACUUAUAGAUUGUUCCGCGACGCAUUAGCUAGUUGGUAAGGUAACGGCUUACCAAGGCAACGAUGCGUAGCCGACCUGAGAGGGUGAUCGGACACACUGGAAGUGAGACACGGUCCAGAGUCCUACGGGAGGCAGCAGUAGGGAAGCGUCCGCAAUGGGCGAAAGCCUGACGGAGCAACGCCGCGUGAGUGAUGAAGGUCUUCGGAUCGUAAAACUCUGUUAUUAGGGAAGAACAAAUGUGUAAGUAACUAUGCACGUCUUGACGGUACCUAAUCAGAAAGCCACGGCUAACUACGUG